rnacentral:rRNA from 1 species
CCUAGUUGCCAGCAUUCAGUUGGGCACUCUAAGGAGACUGCCCGGUGUCAAACCGGAGGAAGGUGGGGAUGACGUCAAGUCCUCAUGGCCCUUAUGUCCAGGGCUACACACGUGCUACAAUGGCCGGUACAAAGGGGCGCAAGACCGCGAGGUGGAGCAAAUCCCAAAAAACCGGUCUCAGUUCGGAUUGGAGUCUGCAACUCGACUCCAUGAAGUUGGAAUCGCUAGUAAUCGCGUAUCAGCAUGACGCGGUGAAUACGUUCCCGGGCCUU